UUUGGCAAUCACGUCGCGACAUGUUACUGUUCUUAUUAACUGAUCAACAGUGAUGCGUAUAUCAAGUACGUCUUACGAGUGUAUAUUACGAGUGCGUAUUAGAGUGUCUCUCCGCACAAGAAAAGGAAAAGAUCCAUUUUUGUCUACUUGCCUUCUACGUUUCAACUUUCUACAAGAAAGGUGCGCAUGUGAACGUGAUACGUUGCAAUAUCAUUUCUACAAGACUGAAG